rnacentral:rRNA from 1 species
UACGUAGGGCGCAAGCGUUGUCCGGAAUUAUUGGGCGUAAAGAGCUCGUAGGCGGUUUGGUGAGUCGGGUGUGAAAUCUCGGGGCUCAACCCCGAACUUGCAGUGGGUACGGGCAGACUAGAGUGUGGUAGGGGAGACUGGAAUUCCUGGUGUAGCGGUGAAAUGCGCAGAUAUCAGGAAGAACACCCGUGGCUAAGGCGGCUCUCUAGUACGGUACUGACGCUGAGACGCGAAAGCGUGGGGAGCGAACAGG